GGACGUUAGGAGUUAACUCAACUUGCUCAACUUGAGUUAAGGUACUUUUGUCCUUUAUUAUUCGAUCCUUCCUUCUACUCUGGUGUCUCUGGUUCCUACUUGCUUACCUGCGUUCCUUCAUUCUUCAUACUGAGGUCUAAGUCCUAUUUAUGGCCGGCGAUCUAAUGUCCUAAUUAUGGCCGGCGAUCUGAUGUGACGUGCGUGUCAAGGUUAGUGGUGGAGCUCCAGCGUAUUGUUCGAAAGAUCUCUUAUACAAUGGAUAUGGGUAAUGAUGAUGUUGAUCUUGGUGUUAAUUGUGUUAGUUUGGGUGAUGACGUUGUUGGCCCAUAAUUGUGUGUCGAUUCUAUUGCUGGUUCCGUGGCUGGUGUUGAUGAGUCUGGGUGUGGGGGAACUGGGGGAAGCAUGGGAAAUAUGGAGUUGAAUCCGUGCUCGAACAUGUGUUUUGAAUCUGGUUGUGGGGGUACCAUGGGAAAUAUGGAGUUGUUGAACCCCAGCUCUCCUCUGGUUUUGUCACAGCCAGUUGUCUACACAUCUCCAAUACAGACAGUCCACACUGUCUAGACGGUUGAGACGGUUGUAUCAACUAAUAGGCUUGUGCCUUUUGUUAAACCACCAAAGGAGGGCAUGUUGUUCAAGUGCUGGCAGGACAUAGAGGCGUACUUCAAACUAUAUGGAGAACAACAUGGUUUCGGUGUAAGUAGAGUGCAGGGUUCAUUUUCUAUGAAAACUAAAGAGCGUAGGGGUACUAGGUGGAGGAAUGAAUGCUCGGGUGCGCCGGACAUGAGGCCCAAAGGGAGGCGAAGAAGAGGGCAAAAGCAAUGGAUGUUGGUGGAACCGGGGGCAAUGUUAACGGUGUAAUAGGGCAGGAUGAGUUGAAACAGUGGAAGAGAAAGUCUAAAAAGUGCUUCUGUCCUGCAAACAUAUAUGCAGGUGUUAAUGCUGAGGGUGAGUGGGUUAUACGGUCAGCCGAACUAGAACAUGACAGCCACAAUCCUACCCCGAGCUAGGCAAAUCUAGUAAAAUAGUACAGGAUGAAGCAUUACACUUCGUCUGUACAUAAGAGGCUACUUAACUACUAUGAAGAGGGUGUUCCUGUUAAGCAAAUUCAUGGUUGCUUGUCCCAUGAAAAAGACAAACUACCUAAUGUGAAGGACUUAGAACACGAGGUAUACAAAGCUAGGAGGUUGAAAAUGGAAGGUGGCGACGCCGUAGCGAUGAUGAAGUAUUUUGAGAAGAUGCAAGCUGACAACCAAAACUUUUAUCAUGCACAUCGGUUGGAUGAAGAAGGGCGACUAAAGGAUGUGUUAUGGGUGGAUGUUAGGAGUGGAGCGGCCUACGAAGAUUUCGUAGAUGUUGUAUGUUUUGAUGCCACGUACUUGACUAACAAGUACGAGCUCCCUUUUGCAAACUUUGCUGGUGUGAAUCAUCAUGCACUAGUAGAAAAAUAGAAAUGAGCAUCGAAGAAUGAGCACUGAUUUUUAAAAACCGGUGGGCAAAAAUACAAUGGCACCGGUUAAGCGGUGCCUUUUGUUUUAGAAAAUGAAAACCAAAAAAAAAAAAAAAAAAGGAACCGGUGCCCCUUAAAUUUUGUAAACCCUUUAUACUCCCUCAGCCCUUCUCUCUCUCUCAUCCGCCUCUCUAUUUCUUCUCUCCUUCUCUCUCAUCUCUCGUUCUUCGCUCCUCUCUCAUCUCUCGUUCUUCUCCGAUCUCUCAUUCUUCUUCCUCAUCUCUCGUUGUUCUCUCAUCUUCUUCUUCCUCAUCUCUCGUUGUUCUCUCAUCUUCUUCUUCCUCAUCUCUCGUUGUUCUCUCAUUCUUUUUCCUCUUCUCAACAACCACCGACCUUAGUCGAAGUUUCGAAACUAAGCACAACAAACAUCGCCGCCGCCGUCAAUUAUUCGAACCAUGCAAGCAUCAGCCACCGUCAUUGGAACCAAGCACAACCACAACAAACUUGAAUGAAUUUUCGAUUAGAAAAUCAAAAAUUUGAGGUAUAAUGGGCAUUGGUUAACUGGUGCCAAUUGUAGUUAAAACCAAAAAAUAAAAAGUACGGCACUUACUUUUAGCACCGGUUAACCGAUGCGCAAUCUAAGAAUUGGCACCAGUUUUGAACCGGUGUGAAAUCUUCUGGUUUUUGGCAUCCCUCAAAUCUGGGCCGGUUCAAAAUCGGUGCUAAAUGGAGGGUUUGAACCGGUGCUCAUUACCAUUUUUCGCCUAGUGAUGGCCAAUCAAUUCUUUUGGGAUAUGCCCUUGUAUCACGUGAAGAUUGUGACACCUACUCUUGGGUGUUUAGACAAUGGCUAGCAUGUGAGGAAUUGGGCACCGUUUAGGAAUUCUUACUGACCAAGCAGCAGCAAUGAGGAGGCCGCUUGCUGAAAUUAUGCCGACAGCGCGCCAUAUAUGGUGCAUAUGCCAUAUUAUGCGAAAGUUUCCUGAAAAGCUUGGGAAAUGCGAUUUUGGAUAUGCAGUUAUAUGGAAGGAGGAAGUGAUAAAUAUAGUUCAAAAUCCAAUGUUCCGAGGUGCUGAAGUGAUUAAUGUUGUUGUCCAGGGGGUUGAACAGUAGUCGAAGGUAGCAAAGAUCUGUUCGGCAAAACCAAGGUUCAGCUGUUGCGGAAGGUUUUAAUGAACGCGAUAUGCAGACAAUUUUCAUUCUACUUAGUAACUUACUUGGAAAACUCUAAUUGGAUAUGGAAAAUAAGAAUUAUUAAAUGUUUUGUAUUAGCCGGUUAUUAUUUAAGAUUCUUAAUAUGUUCUUAUCUUCAUUGUCUAGUCUAUCAUCGUAUGUAACAUUAAUGAUAUGUUAUUUUGGUACCUAGUCCAAGUUCUUAUGUGAGUAAUAUUUUUGUUAAAAUUUUUGU